AUCGGGCAGUGGCGGACGGGUGAGUAACGCGUAGGUAUCUAUCCUCGGGUGGGGGACAACCACGGGAAACUGUGGCUAAUACCGCAUGAUACCUGAGGGUCAAAGGCGCAAGUCGCCUUAGGAGGAGCCUGCGUCUGAUUAGCUUGUUGGUGGGGUAAAGGCCUACCAAGGCGACGAUCAGUAGCUGGUCUGAGAGGAUGAUCAGCCACAUUGGGACUGAGACACGGCCCAAACUCCCACGGGAGGCAGCAGUGGGGAAUAUUGGACAAUGGGCGAAAGCCUGAUCCAGCAAUGCCGCGUGUGUGAAGAAGGUCUUCGGAUUGUAAAGCACUUUUGGCAGGGACGAUGAUGACGGUACCUGCAGAAUAAGCCCCGGCUAACUUCGUG
rnacentral:rRNA from 1 species